UGCAAGGUGGUGACUGUCACCUCCAUUCUAGCUAGUCAGAAUAGUCUGGAAGACCAGAUUAUUUCACUGAAAGUUCCAAUUAGAUGAAUCAGUAGGCACGGGAUGGGGUGGAAAAAAGUUAUCAAAAAUUAAUUGAUUUUCAACCUAAGGAUAUUUGAUAUUUUUGGUCCUUAAGUGUAGCUCAUUCACUUGUAGAGGGAAGUAGGAAGUAGGAUGAUGGUGCCAAGAACUGUGAUUUGUGCUACAGAUACACAGUCUCCUUUCUCAAAGUGUUCUGAGUUCAGUUGGGUUGACAGGCAAGUGAACAGAACAGAUAUUUGCAGUAGGAGGAGAAUGAUAUACUAAAGUUCUCAAAAAUAACUGUAGGUUGUGCUGGGAAUGCAACAUCCUGGAUAAGAAGGGGGCAGGCUGGAAGAGCCUGGGCUCUGUUUCAGUUUCUCCUGGAAACAAGAUGUCCUUCAAUGCU
rnacentral:lncRNA from 1 species